GUGCGAAAUAUUACUGUAAACGGCCGCCCUAGCGUGAGGGUGCUAAGGUAGCGAAAUUCCUUGCCUUUUGAUUGUAGGCCUGCAUGAAUGGUUUAACGAGGGUUUAACUGUCUCUUGAUUUAAAAUUGAAAUUGUACUGAAGGUGAAGAUACCUUCAUUAAAAAGUCAGACAAAAAGACCCCGUGCAACUUUGAAAAUUGACUUUAUUCAGAAGUGAAAGAUUUUUAGGUGGGGCGCCUAGAAAGUAAAUCUAACCUUUCUGAACAUUUAAUUCUUUCCGGACUUGACCCGAUUAUAUUCGAUCAUAGGAGAAGUUACGCCGGGGAUAACAGGCUAAUCCUUUAGUAGAGCUCGUAUUGGCUAAAGGGAUUGGCACCUCGAUGUUGAAUCAGGGAUGAUAGCUUCAAGGCGUAGAGGCUUUGAGAGUAGGUCUGUUCGACCUUUAAUACCCU
rnacentral:rRNA from 1 species